UACGUAGGGGGCAAGCGUUGUCCGGAUUUAUUGGGCGUAAAGAGCGUGUAGGCGGCCAAGCAGGUCCGCUGUGAAAACUCGAGGCUCAACCUCGAGACGUCGGUGGAAACCGUUUGGCUAGAGUCCGGAAGAGGAGAGUGAAAUUCCCGGUGUAGCGGUGAAAUGCGCAGAUAUCAGGAAGAACACCCGUGGCGAAGGCGGCUCUCUGGGACGGUACUGACGCUGAGACGCGAAAGCGUGGGGAGCGAACAGG
rnacentral:rRNA from 1 species